AUUGAACGCUGGCGGCAGGCUUAACACAUGCAAGUCGAGCGGAGUGAUGGUGCUUGCACUAUCACUUAGCGGCGGACGGGUGAGUAAUGCUUAGGAAUCAGCCUAUUAGUGGGGGACAACAUCUCGAAAGGGAUGCUAAUACCGCAUACGUCCUACGGGAGAAAGCAGGGGAUAACGUGUGACCUUGCGCUAAUAGAUGAGCCUAAGUGGGGUUAGCUAGUUGGUGGGGUAAAGGCCUACCAAGGGGACGAUCUGUAGCGGGUCUGAGAGGAUGAUCCGCCACACUGGGACUGGGACACGGCCCAGACUCCUACGGGAGGCAGCAGUGGGGAAUAUUGGACAAUGGGGGGAACCCUGAUCCAGCCAUGCCGCGUGUGUGAAGAAGGCCUUAUGGUUGUAAAGCACUUUAAGCGAGGAGGAGGCUCUUUUGGUUAAUACCCAAGAUGAGUGGACGUUACUCGCAGAAUAAGCACCGGCUAACUCUGUGCCAGCAGCCGCGGUAA
rnacentral:rRNA from 1 species